rnacentral:rRNA from 1 species
GACGAACGCUGGCGGCGUGCUUAACACAUGCAAGUCGAACGGAAAGGCCCUGCUUUUGUGGGGUGCUCGAGUGGCGAACGGGUGAGUAACACGUGAGUAACCUGCCCUUGACUUUGGGAUAACUUCAGGAAACUGGGGCUAAUACCGGAUAGGAGCUCCUGCUGCAUGGUGGUGGUUGGAAAGUGUCGGCGGUGGGGGAUGGACUGGCAGCUUAUCAGCUUGUUGGUGGGGUAGUGGCUUACCAAGGCUUUGACGGGUAGCCGGCCUGAGAGGGUGACCGGGCACAUUGGGACUGAGAUACGGCCCAGAAUCCUACGGGAGGCAGCAGGGGGGAAUAUUGCACAAUGGGCGGAAGCCUGAUGUAGCAACGCCGCGUGCGGGAUGCCGGCUUUCGGGUUGUAAACCGCUUUCGCCUGUGACGAAGCGUGAGUGACGGUAAUGGGUAAAGAAGCACCGGCUAACUACGUG